rnacentral:rRNA from 1 species
AUGCAAGUCGAACGGUCGAGCCCGACUUGUCGGGUUAGAUAGUGGCGAACUGCUGAGUAACACGUAAGUAACCUGCCCCGAAGCGGGGGAUAAGCCCGAGAAAUCGGGUCUAAUACCGCGUACGUUUCGCGUCGACAUGUCGACGCGAAAGAAAGGCUGGCACUUCGGUGUCAGUCGCUUUGGGAGGGGCUUGCGGCUUAUCAGGUAGUUGGUGGGGUAAUGGCCUACCAAGCCGAAGACGGGUAGCCGGUGUGAGAGCAUGAUCGGCCAGAGGGGGACUGAGACACGGCCCCCACUCCUACGGGAGGCAGCAGCAGGGAAUCUUGCGCAAUGGGCGAAAGCCUGACGCAGCGACACCGCGUGGGGGAAGAAGGCUCUAGGGUUGUAAACCCCUUUUCUCGGGGAAGAGUAAGGACGGUACCCGAGGAAUAAGGUUCGGCUAACUACGUGCCAGCAGCCGCGGUAAUACGUAGGAACCGAGCGUUGUCCGGAUUUACUGGGCGUAAAGGGCGCGUAGGCGGCCCAUCAAGUCUCAUGUGAAAUCUCCCGGCUUAACUGGGAGGGGUCAUGGGAAACUGGUAGGCUCGAGGGCAGUAGAGGAAAGCGGAAUUCCCGGAGUAGUGGUGAUAUGCGUAGAUACCGGGAGGAACACCAGAGGCGAAGGCGGCUUUCUGGACUGUACCUGACGCUGAGGCGCGAGAGCAUGGGUAGCAAACCGGAUUAGAUACCCGGGUAGUCCAUGCCCUAAACGAUGGAUACUAGGUAUAGGAGGUAUCGACCCCCCCUGUGCCGUAGCUAACGUGUUAAGUAU